UGUUGGUCCUCCCGCAACACGAAAUCAUGAACCCCGCCAGGCCCGGAAGGGAGCAACGGUAGUGAUGGAUGUGUGUGCCGGGAUGUGGCUGGCAGGG
rfam:Marinospirillum alkaliphilum DSM 21637 genome assembly, contig: Ga0002112_scaffold00009.9